GGGGUUGUGGCUCAGUGAUAGAGCACUCACCUAGAAUGUGUGAGGCCCUGGGUUCAGUCCUCAGCACCA
rnacentral:tRNA from 1 species